rnacentral:lncRNA from 1 species
AUGUGCACAGAGGGCACCUGUUUCCCAGGGAAAGGGAAGCUAACCAUCCCGACUAAGCUACCACUGUUGCUCACAGAGUGGUAUGUUUGUGUUGAAUGAUUGUGAGAGUUGGUGUAACCAAUGCUCUGAUGUGUUGAAGGUAACUGAUAUCUGCUCAACCAGCUAUAAUCAUCCAUACGAUUGAUCUGCUCACAGAGUGGUAUGUUUGUGUUGAUUGAUUGUGAGAUUUAUUGUAACCAAUGCUCUGAUGUGUUGAAGGUAACUGAUAUCCGUUCAACCAGUUAUAAUCAUCCAUACGAUAGAUGGGAUUGUUUUCAUUCUUUAAGGUCAAAGCAGAUGAAGAGUCAUCUACUUUCGAAGCAGCAGAACCAAACCCUGGAGGUGGACCCAGAUGCCUAACAGGUCGGCUGACUGGACUUUUCUUCAUUCCUGUCGAGAUAACUGAUGAAGAUUUCAUUGACAUGCUAUCUGAACCAGCUACUGAGGAUGUACGUGAACUGAAGGUAGAUGGUAUAGCAGCCUCUGGAACCUGGACAUGAAUAUUACUUGCAGUGCUAAAAUUCACAGACCGAGGUAAAGGGACUGAAUAUGCUGCAGGUGGAACCCUUUCUGGAUGAUUUAGCAACUCAGCUUCUGCAGUUAGUCCAUUUCCCAUCAAGUUAAGGCCCCCCACGAAUCCAUUCAUAACAGCAUCUUGCUCUACAGACCACAUGGAAGCGCUUGUUUGGAUUGGCUGCACAUAUUGGGUAUUGGUAUGAGCAAUGCUUGUUGGUUGCCUUACAUUUGUACUCCAAGCAUUUUGCAAGCUCAAUCCAUCAAGUGCAGAUGAAAAUGGCCCCAUCCCACUACAGAUAUUAACAGAAGCCAUGCUAACACCAGAAGGAACACUGGCAGCGCUAAUAACAGACACAGGAACUGCUAAGGUCAUUGUAUUUGAAGAGAUGCCAUUCACUUUUUCCAUCACUGACGGCUUAAAAACGAUAACUUCGUCUUCCUCCUCACAUUCCACAUACAAUUGCUGCUUUGGCUGCAGAUCUCCAACAUUCAUCAGUCCAGCAUCUGGAUUUUCCAGUUCAAUACCACUUAAUUUAGCAACUUCCCUGGAGCCAUUAAGUUGAUAAUCAUCAGAAGCUUGGGCUCCUCACAUUCCACAUACAAAUGCUGUUUUGGCUGCAGAUCUCCGACAUUCAAUAGUCCAGCAUCUGGACUUUCCAGUUCAAUACAACUUAAUUUAGUAACUUCCCUGGAGCCAUUAAGUUGAUAAUCAUCAGAAGCUUGGGG